GGUAGGUUGGGGGCCUGGCUUCACUUGCGUGUCCCCACCCUGAGAGGGAAGGGGCAGGGCAGAGCGUCUGCUCAGUUUUUCUGCUCUGUUAGCAGGUUAACCUCGCGAGGGAGAAGCUUAAGAAACUCCAGUUCCCAGGACUCCCCAGUGCCGGCUCUGCCGAGGGCUCGCAGGACCGGAGGGAGGGAGACUCAAGCAGCAGAUGGCAGGGAAGCCCUCUGGGGCGGCCCCUCCCGAUCCUCGCCCGGGGGACUGUCGCUGGCACGGACGCGGUCUUGGACUCCUGAGACCCCCUCUGGGAGCAAAAGCGCUCCCAACACUCCUCUCCCUCCGCCGGCUGGCCGGGCUCAGGGACCGGGGUCAGCUUGAAUUUCAAUCAGCGUCGCGACAAGGUCCGGGUCUGUCUCUCCUCACGCCGCCGAGGGUGCAGUGUCCACUUGCCGAGACCCACCGGCUUGAUGAUGACUCGGAGGCCGCAGACGCGUGAAGGAGGCAGGGAUGAGGUUUUCAUUAAGUUGGCAACGUCGGGGUUAACCGGGAGUGCAUUGGGGGCGGGAUGCUGGGAGGACAGGAUCCCUCGACCAUCCUUGCGUCUCCUUUCACUUCGGUCUCAGACCCUGGGCGGUCCAGGCGGACGCAGUAUUUUCGGGAUGGGAGAAGUCAUAUAGGGGAGUCCAGACCCCAAACCUUCAGUCUUUCCUCCCUACACCCAAGAGUUAUGUGCUCUGGCUGCAUUGGACCGGGGUGAGAAAGUUCAGACCAGAGAAGUGUCCCAAAUGGGAGAGGGGAGGUCAAGAAACUACAGCAAGUGGGAAUCAAGUUAGAGCAGAGGAAGAGGGGAUCUUUUAAAGAAAGAAAAAAAAAAAAAAUGGUACUCUUUCCUUGCAGGGAAGACCUCCCAGGAGAGAUUGCUUCCCUUAAGCACAGACUCUGCCUUUGAACGGUGCCAGUGGCAGGCUGGGACAGGUGCCCGGCUUCCUUGGGGAGCUCAGGGAUUCAUCUCUGGUGAUGUCCCACAGUCCGUCCCCAGCCCACACCAAGGCUGCUUCCACUCCUCUUACCUCCACCCACUCACCCACUGGCCUUUGCUCCUCUCUCCCUCUCAGAAAUGAUGUGCUUUUUCAAUAGUGAAAGUUGCAAUUAAUGCUCUCAUUUCCAUAAGGCAAACACAUAACCCGGCCCCAGGAUCCAACCUGUGACCAAUCUCCACCGACAAGGACUGCUCCCCACCCGACUCUCCUGCUUCCCCACAGAGAAGGAAAUUAACUCCAUUCUAAUUAGGUGAGUUUGCUACAGACACCAAUUUUCAUCUCGGUUUCAGAAAGUGUGAUCGUUCCAACUAUUUUUGUUUCUCACCACCCUCCCCCCAUCCCUACUCUACUAACAAGUCAAGAUCCUGCCAAGAUUUCCUUGUAAAUAAAACUGUCUGCCCAUGGUGUGAUUUUGAAAACAGCCUUCAGGGGACAGAAGAGAGGCUGACUGAAUCCUUUGUGGAAAGAAGCCCAGAAGGACAAGGGGGUGGCUGGGAGCUCUGAGGUCAGUGUCCCUGCCUCCCCCAAGCCGCUGAUAACGUUUACAGGAUCUGCACAGGUACCGGCUGUGUUACACUUAGAUCUUUGGGGCUGGAAAGAUGGGCCAGGAAGUGGGAGGUUCCAGGGCAGGGGGGGAAAGAGAAGAGUUCAAAGAGGGCUUGGCCCCCCCGUGGGAUGCGCAGUGGGCAGUGCAGAAUCCAGUGGGAAGCCCCCCAGCUGCCCACUGGAUUCUGCCUUUCUCCAGCCCAGGGACAGCUUUUAUCAACCUACCCAACUCUGUCAUCCCCUCCAGUGGAAGGGACCCCAGCAGGCUCAGUUCGGUUCACUGAACAUUUCUUGAGCUCCUACUAAGUGCAGUUACACAGCUUUGAGAAGACAGACCCUGACCUCUAGAAACUGCUUAAUUGGGGAUAACAGCCAGGGAAGUCUAGGGGGUACAGAAACCGAAAGGAGGGGGUUCCUGGGGUCCAAGAAGCCUUCCUAAAGGAUAUGCCCCAGAACCAGGCAAAGUAGGAAAGCUGGCGGGGAGGCAUUCCAGGCAGAGGGAACAGCAUGGGUAGAAGUUGGGCUUGGGAAGCAGUAUGGCUUGGGAGGGAACUGUGAGCCGUCUGCCAUGGCUGGAAAUUGGAGUAAGGUGCCCAGCGUAAAGAACCCAGCCUGGCAGAGGGGUUGGAAGGGCCAUGAGUGUCUGGAGAAAGGGGCUUAGAUUUUACCCUGAGGGCAAUGGUGAGCUAUUCAAGGACUGUGAGCAAGAACAUAAAAUUUAAAAAGAUCCUUCCAGAGUUCGCAGGCUCCAUGGAAAUGAAUCCGACUAGGAACCAUGACGUUUCGGGUUUGAUCCCUGGCCUUGCUCAGUGGGUUAAGGAGCCAGUGUUGUCACAAGUUUUCAGUGUAGCUCACAGGUGUGGCUCGGAUCUGGUGUGGCCGUGGCUGUGGCCUAGGCCGACAGCUCUAGCUCCAAUUUGACCCCUGGCCUGGGAACUUCCAUAUGCUGCAGGUGAGGUCCUAAAAAAAGAAAAAAAGUAAAAAGAUCCCUCCAGCUGUAGGCCAGAAGAAAGACAGGAAAGAGGCUGGUCUGAGCACAGGGAGAAGUGCCAUCAAGGAAGAGGUCAUGAGGGCGGCAGCCGUUAGAAUGAAGGGAAGAGGGAGGCCCUGGGAAGUGUCCAGAAGGGGAUCUAGUGCCUCCGUCUGUCCUAGGAACAUUUCGCCCCACUUUGGCAGACGGUGUUCCCCAAAGUCUCCUCUGGAAGAAUUCCUGACCUCUAGCCAGAAUCUUCCCUUCAGGAGAUGGCUUCCGGUUCCUUGACCCCUGUUGGAAGGAGCAUGGCCACCUAGACUUGGAGACGAGCUGUGACAGCCAACGGCAUCUGUGAACCUGAGGCCACACUCACCUUUGCCCUCAGUGUUGCCUCGGGCUACGAGCCAGCCCAUCACACCCCUCAGCCCCAGGGACAUCUGCCACUAGGAAUAGGCCACCCCCCAGUGGGCCGAGGGACAUGGAGCCUGGGUCCCCAAAGCCUCUGAGGGGUGGGAGUGGCCAGGCUCUCUGACUGCUUUUGUCCCACUCUGAGACAACCUGAGGACCAGCACAUUCUGUGCCAGAUGGAGGACGGAGGAGAGAGAAGGCACGGUGACCACUCAGUGUCACUGAGCACUGCGUGGCCGGGCGGCCAUAGACAUUCACAGGCCCUGCACUCAGGGAGCCCUGGGUCUACCUGGAGAUGACAGCAAGCAAGGAUGACUGGCGUUUAUACCCUUCAUUUUGUAAGGGCUCUACACCCAUGACAUCUAUUAAAGUUCCUAAUCAGGAGUUCCCACUGUGCCCAGUGGGUGAAGAACCUGACUAGUAUCCAUGACGAUGUGGCCUCACCCAGUGGGUUAAAGGAUCUUACAUUGCUGCAAGCUGUGGUAUAGGUCUCAGAUGCAGCUUGGAUCUAGCCUUGCUGCAGCUGGGUGUAGGCCAGCAGAUGCAGCU
rnacentral:lncRNA from 1 species